rnacentral:tRNA from 1 species
UGUGAAGUGCCUGAUUAAAGGACAAUCUUGAUACGGUUGAGCAUGUGGCCCCCCCCCACCUUCACAA